rnacentral:rRNA from 1 species
UACGUAGGGUGCAAGCGUUAAUCGGAAUCACUGGGCGUAAAGCGCACGUAGGCGGAUCUUUAAGUCAGGGGUGAAAUCCUGGAGCUCAACUCCAGAACUGCCUUUGAUACUGGGGAUCUCGAGUCCGGGAGAGGUGAGUGGAACUCCGAGUGUAGAGGUGAAAUUCGUAGAUAUUCGGAAGAACACCAGUGGCGAAGGCGAGUCUCUGGGAUGAUGCUGACGCUGAGGCGCGAAAGCCAGGGGAGCAAACGGG